UGAAAUCAACAUGGGUGCCCAGUUUGUUGGGUGUAGCAUAUAUGUCAUAUAGUUUGCGGUGAAAUCCAAAUUCUUUUUAUUUUUUAUCUGGUAGUUUAUGACUCAAUAGAAUGAUUGUUUCAGUACAACAGUGUAACUCACUUUAGAAUAAUCCACAAACACUGUAUAAGUCUGAAGCACAGAAAGGAACCCUCUAGAUGCAGUGAGCAUUCUAAUCAGAAAUGUCACAUUGCAGAACUGCCUACUACAAGCUCUUUUGUUAAUUUUAUCACUGCCUCUUGGCUUUGGGACAAUUUUGCUUCUUCAGUGGCUGUUCCUUCUGUCUACUUUGUUCCUGCUUCCCUGACGGACGAUCAAUGUUCAAGUGCCCCAGGGUUUCCUUCUGAGCCCUCUGACCACUGCUCAGCACACAUAACCAAGCACCACACAACUCAGCAUCCAUAACCAAGCACCACACAACUCAGCAUAUGUAACCAAGCACCACACAACUCAGCAUAUGUAACCAAACACCACACAACUCAGCAUAUGUAACCAAGCACCACACAACUCAGCAUAUAUAACCAAGCGCCACACAACUCUUUCUGCACAUCUUGACAAUAUUACUGUGCUGAGAAAUAAAGGAGCAAGUGAUGAAACACGCCUCCAUGUUGAUCCUCUAGGGCAAUUCUUCAAGGCCUCUCCAGGCCCCUCAGAAAGGUUCAUGACCAUUCACCAGUUGCCUUCAGCAGUGACCUGGGUAGUGCAUCCUUGGUGUCUCUCCUGCUUCUUGCUCCUCUUGGUCCCUCUCUCCUGUUCCCUGGAAUUACCUCCCAAAUAAACUCAGGCCCUUGUCUCAGACUCAAAUAUUUGACUUCCUACUAUAUGCCUGUAUGCCUGACUUGAGCCAUCUGUAUAAGUUUGUUCUCAUGUUGCUACAAAGUAAUACCUGAGACUGGGUAAUUCAUAAAGGAAAGAGUUUUAAUUGUCUCACAGUUCAGAAGUAGAAGCACCGAACAAAAGGGGAGGAGCCCCUUAUAAAACCAUCAGAUCCUGUGAGAAUUCACUAUCACAAAAACAGCAUGGGGGAAACAGCCCCCAGGUGAGAUUAAGGUGGGGACACAAAGCCUAACCAUAUCUCCAUCCAAAAAGAAAAAGAUGUAGGUAGCCUUGCCCUCAAGAGCUCUUGGUCU
rnacentral:lncRNA from 1 species